CCUAGAGUUGUAGGCUUUGCCUGCUAUCUCUUACCCAUGUCUUUUGAGUACCUUCGUUUCCCUCGGCGGGUCCGCCCGCCGAUUGGACAUUUAAACCAUUUGCAGUUGCAAUCAGCGUCUGAAAAAACUUAAUAGUUA
rnacentral:misc_RNA from 1 species